GACGCACGCUGGCGGCGGGCCUAAUACAUGCACGUCGAGCGAAGCGGCGGAUGGGUGAGUAACGCGUGGGUAACCUGCCCUUAAGUCUGGGAUACCAUUUGAAAACAGAUGCUAAUACCGGAUACGAAAGGAGGGACCUGCGGUGCAUUAGCUAGUUGGUAAGGUAACGGCUUACAAAGGCGAUGAUGCAGAGCCGAGGUGAGAGGCUGAUCGGCCACACUGGAACUGAGACACGGCCCAAACUCCUACGGGAGGCAGCAGUAGGGAAUCUUCCACAAUGGACGAAAGUCUGAUGGAGCAACGCCGCGUGAGUGAAGAAGGUUUUCGGAUCGUAAAGCUCUGUUGUUGGUGAAGCGGUAAUCAACCAGAAAGUCACGGCUAACUACGUGCCAGCGGCCGCGGUAAUUC
rnacentral:rRNA from 1 species